rnacentral:lncRNA from 1 species
GAGCUAGGGGGUGCGGGUGUUUGUGUUGGAAAAUCCAACUGCGCCACGGGGCGGAGCGGCCCCCCCAGCCCCGACCAGGGAGACGGGGGGGCCGCUCGACCCCCAGGAGACUUUGGGGAGCCUGAACACCUGGGACCCUCCCACAAGCAGGUUUCCCCCCCCCAGGCACCAUGCUGGGCCUGUAGCAAUAUCUACCCCACUGAGGUCAGCUGCACCCCCACUGCUGGGGUGCAGGUUCCAAUGAGAGGGCACACCAAGCUCCAUCGGGUAAGAAGCGUGCCUUUAGCACCUGGCUUCCUCCAAGCGAAAUGAGGACAGGAGGGGAGCGGGCUGCUGUGGGGGCCCUGAACUGGCCUUGUGCAGCCGACCGUCUGCCUGCUCGGUAAAACCUCAUCAGCGGGGUCUGGUCUUUGGCGGUCCUGAGAGUUUGUGAGUGCACGGCUGGCCUCUUAGACGCGUCUCGCGUGGCUGGGGCACUGCGCGGAGGGGGUCCUCGGCCUCAAGCCCAGAGAGAGUUAAGUGGGUAUGAUUGAUGGAGUGGUUUUCUCAAGGGGCUCAAGAGGGAGGGGGUAGGUUAAAGUCCGCGAGUCUAAAGCCCGGAUGGAGGGGGCGGG